CUGCCCGUGUCCCUGACACUGCCCGCGACCCGGCCCUGCGCCCACCAACGCAGCUCACCUCGUUCGAGAGGACGUAGUCUUGCGAUGCAUCAAGGGAGGUUUAGGUUGGAUAUUAGGAGGAAUUUCUUCACAGAAGGGGUGAUUAGACGUUGGAAUGGGCUGCCCAGGGAGAUGCUGGAGUCACCGUCCCUGCAGGUGUUUAAGGAAAGGCUGGGCGUGGCACUUGGUGCCGUGGUCUAGUUGACAAGGUGGUGUUGGGUCUCAGCGAUCUCAGAGGUCUUUUCCAAUCUAAAUGAUCCUGUGCUUCCCAGCCGCUCUCCACUAUGGUAUUAAGCUUAGGUGGCACAGUGGAGGUGUUCUCUCUUGUGUGUGGUGCUCCCAACCUUCUCCAGUAUCGCGCAGAGGAGAGGCUGUUCCACCCCUCAGGAAAAGCUGUGGGCCAGGGGAAGGUGUGGAGUGGCUGUUGUGUUAUUCUGUGGCAGGGCAAGCUAAAGACACAGCCAGAGCAGAGCACUCUUUUCCCUGCCUUUGAAGUAAGAUGAGGCUUUGCUGAAAAACCUUAGCUUGGAGGUGAUGAAAUUGAGAAGCAGUAGAGUUGGCAUCAGUGGUGGUGCUGUCAUGAGUGACUGGAAAGGCAAGGACUGUUUCAAUUGAAUCUCCCACCUUACAAAGAUCUCCCCGGCAAACAAAGCUAAUCUCGUGCUGUGCUCUAGGAAAUGUCUCUUAUUGUGAAUUUAGAACCAGAAGUUCUUGGGUUCUUAUUUCCAGAACUGAACUGCUGUAGCAGUCAGGUGCUAAUCUUAAGGUGUAGACAAUGCCAUGCUAACAGGAGUGGCAUUCGUUGUAUAAAUAUUAGUCCAUUUAUGUUAGAUCAAGGAAGGAAAUGCUUUAGCACUUAAGUGCUAAAGGUGGAAUGGUGCUGUAAUUACAGGAAUUACAUGUACUGUAAAACCAUUAGUCUAUCCACAAUCUAUCUUGUAGCAUGUUUGUUCUCUGAUGGUUUAAACAGAAAAUAAAAAGGCCCUCUUUGUGGAUCAACGUUUACUCCUGCUAUAUCAGAAAGACAUCCUUCCAAAGAAACUAAGGUGUUGGUUUAAAAGCAUGUAUUGAUAUUCGGAUAAAACCUUAAAAUCCUUAUGCAAGGUAGAUGAUGUCUCUGAAAUCAAGAAAAAAUAGUUGGAAAUGCUCUCAGGCAAUUUGAAGGUCAGAUGGAAUGAAUACAAUGUAACUAAGAAAUUUAAAAAUUGCAGCUGUUUAUUUAGGCUUGACUAGAACAUUAUACCACAUGUUGUCUUGCAAGUAACUGUUCAACAGAUGGUCCCUGGCUGUAUUCUGACCAUGACAAACAAUGACAGAGCCAGGGCCUGGAUUUUAAUCAGCAAAAUCUCCCACACAAUUGUCUCCCAAGCAUGGAGAGAGAACCAGCACAGUGCUGUGGAAAGGAAGAAAAACAGUAUUAAUGAAGCAUUCUCUAGAAUCCACCUACAGCUGUCACUUACAAUAAAAUGAAUGAGAAAUUAGGGGAGAAAUUCAUUAAAUAUUGGAAUUGUUCCUCUAGUCCUCAGUGAUUGUAGGUAGCCCUAUGUGACUGCUGACAUUUUCAGGGGUGCUAAUGAAUUUGAUUGGGAACUAGACAUACACCUAGAAACCUGAAUACUUUGCUGUGUGCUUCUUUGUGUGUUUACGUACUAUAUAGUUUCACCCUGUCUUUGGCAGAUAGAAGAAAGAAAACGUGUACUGCUUAUUUAAACAUCAGGAGUAAAACUCAUAAACUCUAGACAGAAGGAUCUUCACUAGUGAAGCAGAACUAAAGACAGUACAACUUUGAAGGUGUUUUCCCCUUUCUAUUCCUAUUUAGGCCUCUGUUCAACAUUUGAAGAAAAAUACUUUUUUUUUCCCUUUCUUUUUCCACAUCUCGGCAUGUGACAUUAAAUGAGGGGGGAAAAAUCUCUUGGCAAAUCUGUAAAUAAGCUAAACCUGGUGGGAUCUCUGAAGUAGGAAUGGAACAGAAGGUGGUUAUCAGGCAGGAAGAUCAAAAGAUGCUUAGAGAAGAAAACUGGAAGGAUCAGCAGUUAGACCUCCUGUCAGAUGAGCAAAAGAAAGGAAGUUCUAUGCAACAGUUCUUAUACUAAAGCCAAAGAAGGAUGAGCACUUCUUAGCUAUGAUCCUAGUAGGAGAGACAAGCUGAGAAUGAAAGUGAAUGUGAACUAACUGUUUGUUUUCUUAGGGAUGAGAACAUACAGAGGACUUUCACUCUUGUCAACAAUCCUAGGACAUAAUGUCCCUAGGGCUGUGCCAAAGCACAACUGUUGAAAAGGAAGUUCCUUCCAAGAGUAGAUGGUUUUCAACUAAAUAAAUACAUUGUACAUAAAGACUUGCCAAGUAAUUUCUAAUGUCACUGUACUAUGGAAUUGCUUUCUCACCAGCGACAAGUAUUCUACCACUUUGUUUGCUACUCACUACAUACAUAAUUUAUCUUAAUGAUUGUUUUUGUUAUUAGAAUUCAGACAAUUUUUAUUUAAUGAGGAAGGCCCUUUCUCAGAAUUAUUUGUAAUACAAUUGGAAAGCGAGCCAUUAGGGUGCUUUUCUAUAAUUUAUUGCUCUUGGCAUGCAAAUCCACCUCCUAAAAAUAAUAUGUUUAGGAGAAAAAGUAUCUAUCUCAUCUUGAACACUAAAUAGAGAGCUGUAUCACACACAUACCCACCUGUUGGAAACAACUGUAGCAGUCCCACUAUCUGAUUGCCAAUGCAACCAUGGCACAUUUUGAGAAUCUAACUGAUGUUUACCCUAGGAAUUAUUUCUUCUGAAGAAAUCUUCAGAAAAGCUACUUUAGUUGGCUUUAGGUAGCAGUUGGUUUAGUUAGCAGUUUUGGCAAAUCCACAUAAUUUAAAGUUCUAUUUUUUUCUAAAUGGAAUUAGCAAGUUCCGAGAUAAUUUUUAAAUAGGAUAUUGCCCACAACUUUAAAAGAUGGGAAAAACAUUCUGUAUGAAAAGUGUUAAAAGUGUUGUACACAUGGAUACUAAAAGAUAGAUUAGUGAGUUGCCACAGAAUCACUAAGCUUUGAAAGAUAGCUUCGUAAGAAUAACUGCUGAAAAAGUAAAUUAAAGGUUUCCAGAAAA